rnacentral:rRNA from 1 species
CCUACGGGAGGCAGCAGUGAGGAAUAUUGGUCAAUGGCCGCAGGGCUGAACCAGCCAAGUCGCGUGAGGGAUGACGGUCCUAUGGAUUGUAAACCUCUUUUGUCAGGGAGCAAAGGGCGCCACGUGUGGCGCUUUGCGAGUACCUGAAGAAAAAGCAUCGGCUAACUCCGUGCCAGCAGCCGCGGUAAUACGGAGGAUGCGAGCGUUAUCCGGAUUUAUUGGGUUUAAAGGGUGCGCAGGCGGAAUGUCAAGUCAGCGGUAAAAUUUCGGGGCUCAACCCCGUCGUGCCGUUGAAACUGGCGUUCUUGAGUGAGCGAGAAGUAUGCGGAAUGCGUGGUGUAGUGGUGAAAUGCAUAGAUAUCACGCAGAACUCCGAUUGCGAAGGCAGCAUACCGGCGCUCAACUGACGCUCAUGCACGAAAGCGUGGGUAUCGAACAGGAGUAGAUACCCCAGUAGUC